rnacentral:rRNA from 1 species
GGACGAACGCUGGCGGUGUGCCUCAAACAUGCAAGUCGAGGGAGGGUUGGCGAGUGGCUUGCCAUUCGUUCAACUCUACCGGCAAACGGGUGAGUAACACGUGGAACCUGCCCUGAGACGGGGACAACUUCGGGAAACCGGGCUAAUACCCGAUACCCUCCACGGGGGGCAUCCUCUGUGGAGGAAAGGUUCCGCAAGGUUCGCUUCAGGAGGGUCCCGCGGCCUAUCAGCUAGUUGGUGGGGUAACGGCCUACCAAGGCUAUGACGGGUA